rnacentral:rRNA from 1 species
GAUGAACGCUGGCGGCGUGCCUAAUACAUGCAAGUCGAGCGAAUAGAUGAGGAGCUUGCUCCUCUGACGUUAGCGGCGGACGGGUGAGUAACACGUGGAUAACCUACCUAUAAGACUGGGAUAACUUCGGGAAACCGGAGCUAAUACCGGAUAAUAUAUUGAACCGCAUGGUUCAUUAGUGAUAGACGUUUUUGCUGUCACUUAUAGAUGUUUCCUCGCCGCAUUAGCUAGUUGGUAAGGUAACGGCUUACCAAGGCAACGAUGCGUAGCCGACCUGAGAGGGUGAUCGGCCACACUGGAACUGAGACACGGUCCAGACUCCUACGGGAGGCAGCAGUAGGGAAUCUUCCGCAAUGGGCGAAAGCCUGACGGAGCAACGCCGCGUGAGUGAUGAAGGUCUUCGGAUCGUAAAACUCUGUUAUUAGGGAAGAACAAAUGUGUAAGUAACUAUGCACGUCUUGACGGUACCUAAUCAGAAAGCCACGGCUAACUACGUG